rnacentral:piRNA from 1 species
UAAAAGGAAAAGCUUUGAUUGGGACC